rnacentral:tRNA from 1 species
GGAGGGUUAUCGAAGUGGUCAUAACGGGGCUGACUCGAAAUCAGUUGUCCGGCUCAUACCGGACCAAGGGUUCGAAUCCCUUACCCUCCGCCA